UGGGGAAUAUUGCACAAUGGGCGCAAGCCUGAUGCAGCCAUGCCGCGUGUGUGAAGAAGGCCUUCGGGUUGUAAAGCACUUUCAGCGGGGAGGAAGGGUCACUAGUUAAUACCUAGUGGCAUUGACGUUACUCGCAGAAGAAGCACCGGCUAACUCCGUGCCAGCAGCCGCGGUAAUACGGAGGGUGCAAGCGUUAAUCGGAAUUACUGGGCGUAAAGCGCACGCAGGCGGUUUGUUAAGUCAGAUGUGAAAUCCCCGAGCUCAACUUGGGAACUGCAUUUGAAACUGGCAAGCUAGAGUCUUGUAGAGGGGGGUAGAAUUCCAGGUGUAGCGGUGAAAUGCGUAGAGAUCUGGAGGAAUACCGGUGGCGAAGGCGGCCCCCUGGACAAAGACUGACGCUCAGGUGCGAAAGCGUGGGGAGCAAACAGG
rnacentral:rRNA from 2 species